ensembl:lncRNA
GGUUUAAUGAGUUUUGCUGAAUAGUCAAAAGAGUAGACCUGGUUUAUCAGAGUAUUGUUGAGGGGAUUGCCUGAUACCUGGUUUGUAUGGAUAUUUGGGCUGAGAUAUGCAGGUGUAGAUCUGCUUUAUAUUAGUAUUGGGAGUCAGUCAAAGGUGUAGACCUGUUUUUUAGGAGUACUGGAGCUGAGGUGCAGGCGUAGAACUGUUUUUUAGGAGUACUGGAGCUGAGGUGCAGGCAUAGAACUGUUUUUUUAAGAGUACUGGAGCUGAGGUGCAGGCGUAUAACUAUUUUUUAGGAGUACUGGAGCUGAGGUGCAGGUGUAGAACUAUUUUUUAGGAGUACUGGAGCUGAGGUGCAGGUGUAGAACUAUUUUUUAGGAGUACUGGAGCUGAGGUGCAGGUGUAGAACUGUUUUUUAAGAGUACUUGAGCUGAGGUGCAGGCGUAGAACAGUUGUUUAGGAGUACUGGAGCUGAGGUGCAGGGGUAGACCUGGUUUUUAGGAGUACUGGAGCUGAGGUGCAGGGGUAGACCUGGUUUACAGUUUAUACGUUUUCAGGCCUCGGCACAUUUAGACCUGGCUUAGUUAACUAAUUGGGUUCAAGCACAGGUGCAGACUUUGUAGGUAUGUACAUUGGAGCUGAAGUACUGGUGUUGACCUGUUCUGUAGGAAUAUUGGGUCUGAAGUAUAGACUUCGUUUGUAUACAUGUUGAGGCUUGGGCACUGGGGUAGACCUGUUUUAUAUGAGUAUGCCCAUGGAUGUACCUGGUUUAUAUGAGUAAUGUGGUGUAGGGAUACACAAGACUCAUACAGGUAAUGGGUUUGGAUGGAUCUAUUGCCCAUUCAUAUUCUUUCUGGCAACAAGUUUGUGGUAGGAAAAAAGCUGAUGGGUCUGGGGCAUAUUUGUUAUGGCACUGUACUAUAAAUGUAUCUGUGAAAUAAUUAGUGUAUACAGGUCAGUGGUCAUAGGACUAAGAUAUGCAAAUAACAGGGUUAGAUUGUGCAGCGAAUAGCUGGAUAUAGGUUACUGUUGGUGACUUGGGGAAUACAGGACUAAGGAAAGUGGGUAACAGGUCUGACAUGAGCAAGUAACAGGGAUGAAGUGUACUGGCAAAGGAACUGUGGUCUAUGAAUAACAAAUAGUGCAUUUAGAACUAGGAUAUAGGUGUAUUGGUACUUGAUUGUAUCAAUAUUAGGGUAUUGGCAU